GCAAUACCUCACAAAGGUCUGAUACCAUCAAUUCAAGGUCGUAACCCUAAACCCUUCUUUUUCCUCAAAAGAAUUUCAUUCAAUUUAGCCAUUGAUGUACAUGUCAAUGAAGGUCAAACAGCCUUGACAUUAUCCCCAGCAUGGAUCUCAUCCGUUGAUGUACAUGUCAGCGAAGGUCAGGCAACCCUGAUAACAUAGCAUGUUGUCAGUAAUUCUGACAUAUCAGUGAAAAGACCUGGUGUAGCAUCCCCGAAUCCGGGUCCCAAAUCGCCGCGGAUCCGGUAUACUAAUUCUAUCACUAUUGCGGAAGAUAUAAACAUAAAUUGUUUAUACAUUAAACUUUACACACUAUUUUCCCAAAAUCGAGUAACCUUAACUAAUACACAAUCAUAAACUAUCUAACACAUGACAAUACUAUUCUUCAACCAUACUUUUACAAAUUAGCUGCACAUUCUAUCCCAAGCUGAACUUGGCAUUUUCCUUUUCCUGUAACUGGCCGUAUUCGCC
rnacentral:lncRNA from 1 species